UUGUGGCUGGGGGUGAAAGGCCAAUCAAACCGGGAGAUAGCUGGUUCUCCCCGAAAGCUAUUUAGGUAGCGCCUCGUGAAUUCAUCUCCGGGGGUAGAGCACUGUUUCGGCAAGGGGGUCAUCCCGACUUACCAACCCGAUGCAAACUGCGAAUACCGGAGAAUGUUAUCACGGGAGACACACGGCGGGUGCUAACGUCCGUCGUGAAGAGGGAAACAACCCAGACCGCCAGCUAAGGUCCCAAAGUCAUGGUUAAGUGGGAAACGAUGUGGGAAGGCCCAGACAGCCAGGAUGUUGGCUUAGAAGCAGCCAUCAUUUAAAGAAAGCGUAAUAGCUCACUGGUCGAGUCGGCCUGCGCGGAAGAUGUAACGGGGCUAAACCAUGCACCGAAGCUGCGGCAGCGACACUGUGUGUUGUUGGGUAGGGGAGCGUUCUGUAAGCCUGUGAAGGUGUGCUGUGAGG
rnacentral:rRNA from 1 species